rnacentral:rRNA from 1 species
AGCGAACGCUGGCGGCAGGCUUAACACAUGCAAGUCGAGCGGGCACUUUCGGGUGUCAGCGGCGGACGGGUGAGUAACGCGUGGGAACGUGCCCUCUGGUUCGGAAUAACUCAGGGAAACUUGAGCUAAUACCGGAUACGCUCUUUUGGGGAAAGGCUUGCUGCCGGAGGAUCGGCCCGCGUCUGAUUAGCUAGUUGGUGAGGUAACGGCUCACCAAGGCGACGAUCAGUAGCUGGUCUGAGAGGAUGAUCAGCCACACUGGGACUGAGACACGGCCCAGACUCCUACGGGAGGCAGCAGUGGGGAAUAUUGGACAAUGGGCGCAAGCCUGAUCCAGCCAUGCCGCGUGAGUGAUGAAGGCCUUAGGGUUGUAAAGCUCUUUUAUCCGGGACGAUAAUGACGGUACCGGAGGAAUAAGCCCCGGCUAACUUCGUG